rnacentral:lncRNA from 1 species
GCUGUAUAUGAUAAGGCUGGAUUAGGAUAUAAAACAAAUAGGAAACAAAAAUACUUAAAGAACAUUUUUGUAAAAGCUAAAAAUGAAAAUAUUACUUGUCAUUGCUGUAAUAAAUUAGGACAUAAAGCAUAUGAAUGUAACUAUAGAAAGUCCAGUCAAAACAAAUUGAGUAAUAAUCAUAAGCUUAAAUUCAAGAAAGUUUGGGUUCCAAAAGGAACAUCAAGUACUAACCCUAAAGGACCCAACAUAGUUUGGGUACCUAAAGCUCUUUCUUGAUCUUUAUUGCAGGGGUGUCUUGCAGCUAAUAGCGGCUGUUCAAGACACAUGACCGGUGACGUAGAUCAAUUUGUCACCUUGGAAUCUAAGAAGGGUGGAGUAGUAACCUAUGGAGACAGUGGAAAAGGGUAUAUCAUUGGAAAGGGUAAAAUUUUCAUUACUCCAUCUACUUUCAUAGAAAAUGUAUUAUUAGUU